GUUAUUUUAGAACAAAGCCACAGUGGGAUAUCUGCUGUGUCCACCACGAGGAAUCGAACCCCGGUUUUCAACAGUAUAAAUCCUUAGACUUACCGCUGUCCUACUGGGGACAGCUUAAUAAGAAGUGCACCUGCUGCCACGUCACCAGGAAAGUUCUCAUUCAGCUGAUGGUCGAGGGAAUUCACUGGAUCCAUCCGUGGUGACACCCUGGAAGUGGACUUAACAGGAACAUCAGGCUCUUCAGCAGGUCGAUUUACCUUCGGUGAAGUCUUCUUAGAAGUCCACCAGUUGGCUGUUCUCCUCCCAAUGUAUUUCCAAAGACGAUCAAAGUAGGUGACAUUUAGCUUAAACGAUCUGUAUUUCUGAAUUCUACUUUGUCUUCAUUUUAUUAUGCUUCCACCCACAUUGCCACUGUAAACCUUACAUCUGAUGGUUUCAUUCUUGUGUAAUGCACGAAAAUUUCUUGAUUAUACACUAUAAAACUGUUCAAAACGAG